UUGAAGUUAUUAAUUCCCACUCAGAAUACUUGUUUAAAACAGAGUUUGACAGUCCUGCGGCGGGCACACGAGAGCCCGUUUUACGGGGCCGACGGCGGCGCGCCGGUAAGGGCACGCCGGCGACCUGCCGAGGCAACAGAGGUAUGAUAGACAUAGGGUUGGAGGUCGGGCCCCGGAGGACCCUUUCUCAGUAAUGAUCCUUCCGCAGGUUCACCUACGGAAA
rnacentral:misc_RNA from 1 species